rnacentral:piRNA from 1 species
UCUCUGGGGCUCUUUCUGGCAUAU